GGGGGGGGGGGGGGGGGGGGGGGGCGGGGGGGGGGCGGGGGGGAGGGCGCUGCGUUUGGGGGGUGCUCGAGGGGCGAACGGGUGGGUGACGCGGGAGUAACCUGCCCUUGACUUUGGGAUAACUUCAGGAAACUGGGGCUAAUACCGGACAGGAGCUCCUGCUGCAUGGUGGGGGUUGGAAAGUUUCGGCGGUUGGGGAUGGACUCGCGGCUUAUCAGCUUGUUGGUGGGGUAGUGGCUUACCAAGGCUUUGACGGGUAGCCGGCCUGAGAGGGUGACCGGCCACAUUGGGACUGAGAUACGGCCCAGACUCCUACGGGAGGCAGCAGUGGGGAAUAUUGCACAAUGGGCGGAAGCCUGAUGCAGCAACGCCGCGUGCGGGAUGACGGCCUUCGGGUUGUAAACCGCUUUCGCCUGUGACGAAGCGUGAGUGACGGUAAUGGGUAAAGAAGCACCGGCUAACUACGUG
rnacentral:rRNA from 1 species